rnacentral:rRNA from 1 species
UACGUAGGGCGCAAGCGUUGUCCGGAAUUAUUGGGCGUAAAGAGCUCGUAGGCGGCUUGUCACGUCGGGUGUGAAAGCCCGGGGCUUAACCCCCGGGUCUGCAUUCGAUACGGGCUAGCUAGAGUGUGGUAGGGGAGAUCGGAAUUCCUGGUGUAGCGGUGAAAUGCGCAGAUAUCAGGAGGAACACCGGUGGCGAAGGCGGAUCUCUGGGCCAUUACUGACGCUGAGGAGCGAAAGCGUGGGGAGCGAACAGG